rnacentral:rRNA from 1 species
UACGGAGGGGGCUAGCGUUGUUCGGAAUUACUGGGCGUAAAGCGUGCGCAGGCGGUUAUGCAAGACAGAUGUGAAAUCCCCGGGCUCAACCUGGGAACUGCAUUUGUGACUGCAUGGCUAGAGUACGGCAGAGGGGGAUGGAAUUCCGCGUGUAAGCAGUGAAAUGCGUAGAUAUGCGGAGGAACACCGAUGGCGAAGGGCAAUCCCCUGGGCCUGUACUGACGCUCAUGCACGAAAGCGUGGGGAGCAAACAGG